AAAAGCUCAAAUUUGAAAUCUGGCUCUUUUAGAGUCCGAAUUGUAAUUUGUAGAAGAUGCUUCGGGUGUGGUUCCGGUCUAAGUUCCUUGGAACAGGACGUCAUAGAGGGUGAGAAUCCCGUAUGUGACUGGAUACCUAUGCUCAUGUGAAGCUCUUUCGACGAGUCGAGUUGUUUGGGAAUGCAGCUCAAAAUGGGAGGUAUAUUUCUUCUAAAGCUAAAUAUUGGCCAGAGACCGAUAGCGCACAAGUAGAGUGAUCGAAAGAUGAAAAGCACUUUGGAAAGAGAGUUAAACAGUACGUGAAAUUGUUGAAAGGGAAGCGCUUGCAAUCAGACUUGCACUUGGUGUUCAUCAGGGUCUCGUACCCUGUGUACUUCAUCAAGUUCAGGCCAGCAUCAGUUUGAGUGGUUAGAUAAAGGCUUAGAGAAUGUGGCCCUCUUUCGGGGGGUGUUAUAGCUCUAGGUGCAAUGUAGCCUAC
rnacentral:rRNA from 1 species